AUGGGGCAGAAUGUCUGGCUUAAAGAUGGUGUUGUGCCAACCCUUUUCAACUUUCCAGCUCAUCUUCAAAGUUCUGUAGCAACAAGAAGCACAACCACAGCUAAAAGAGCGGAAGACAACCUUGCAAUGGACUUGAUGCCUGGUGUUGGAGCUACUGGAGAGAGGAGAUUGAGCCGCAAGCGGCAGGCCACUGACGACCACUUGUAUGCAUUGCCUGUUUGCCCUACGGCUAUGAAGGCCAAACUUGAAGAAGCCUCAGCGAGAGUGAGGAAACAGGGCCAAGAACAACAUGCAGGCUGUUCUGGAGGAACUGAAGGAGAAAAACCUCAUCAACGAAGAGCUGAAAGACAAGCUUGAAUGCUAUGACUUUUUCUAAUUGAAUUUCCGAUCUUCCGGUUCAUCUCCUGUCGAGGCAAGGCGUAGAGUACACCAAGGCCCAGAGAGAUCUUGCCCUUACGCUCCAUCUGCAUGGUCCAAAUGCAUAUCACUACCUGAGAGAUACUCUGCACAUUGACCUGCCACAUCCCAGUUCACUGCAUUCAAGGUAUUCUUCAUGAUGUCUAAUUUUACACUGAAUUACAUUAAGCACUAUAGACAAUAUUAUUUAGUGUGUCCACCAUAGGGAUGCUUGUGUUAGUGGUUAAAUGACUACGUGGUUAAAUAUCUUCUUUUUAAUUAUACAAGGUGGCUGAGCUCUCUUGAUGCCAGACCUGGUCUCAAUAAAAUGAUGUUGGACAUGCUGGAAAGACGGCGUCAGGAAGAUGAGGUCAAAUACGGAUUUGUCACUCUGAUGCUGGAUGCCAUGUACAUCAAAAAACACAUCCAACAUGAUCCUCAGACACAAAUAAUGUUUGGAUAAGUGGACAUGGGGGAUCGACUGAAUGAGACUGACAUAGCUUCUGUGGUUCUUGUGUUUAUGGUGGUUGGGCUUCAAGGUUAUUGGAAAGCUCCAAUUGCAUAUUAUUUGACCAAGUCCCUCACACCAGAAUCACAGAAAGUGUUAGUAGAACAUGCAUUAGGCAAGGCAAGGCAAGGCAACUUUAUUUAUAUAGCACUUUUCAUACACAAGGCAGACUCAAAGUGCUUCACAUAUAAACAUUGUUAUACAAUAAAAUAAUCUAUAAGUAAAAGAAAACAUAUGCAAAGAAAUGAGUAAAAUAGAAAGUAAAAAAGGCUUUUUAGUAAGUAAAAUUGAAAGUGCAAUGUAUUUAAGAAAGUGAGAAAAUUAAAUUGAAAGUUAUUUAAGAUCAGAUCAACAGACUCUCUGGAACCCAAGUCGGGACCACAACCCGACCUUAAGGACAAUCUAUUACAAUAUUCUAGGACUCUAGCCCAGAACCAAAGGCAAACAACAAACAACAAACAAUUAUUCUAGGACUCUAGCCCAGACAACAAACAAAUUCACACUUCGUCAAGCUCUUAAUGACACAACUUCAUUACUCAGCAAAUGUCAUGUAUUUUUCUGGUAAAAAUAGAAAAUAAAGGGAAAGUUAAAAAGGCAUUUUAGUAAAAU
rnacentral:lncRNA from 1 species